UGUAUCUGAAGCCUGAAGAGGAUGAGAACCUCCGGGGGCAAGAGGUUCGACUCGAGCGAAGCGAGAGAACGUUGCA
rnacentral:sRNA from 1 species